rnacentral:rRNA from 1 species
GAUGAACGCUGGCGGCGUGCUUAACACAUGCAAGUCGAACGAAGCACUUUACUUGAUCUUUUCGGAGUGAUUGUUUUGUGACUGAGUGGCGGACGGGUGAGUAACGCGUGGGUAACCUGCCUCACACAGGGGGAUAACAGUUGGAAACGGCUGCUAAUACCGCAUAAGCGCACAGUACCGCAUGGUACGGUGUGAAAAACCCCGGUGGUGUGAGAUGGACCCGCGUCUGAUUAGCUAGUUGGCAGGGUAACGGCCUACCAAGGCGACGAUCAGUAGCCGACCUGAGAGGGUGACCGGCCACAUUGGGACUGAGACACGGCCCAAACUCCUACGGGAGGCAGCAGUGGGGAAUAUUGCACAAUGGGGGAAACCCUGAUGCAGCGACGCCGCGUGAGCGAAGAAGUAUUUCGGUAUGUAAAGCUCUAUCAGCAGGGAAGAAGAAAUGACGGUACCUGACUAAGAAGCACCGGCUAAAUACGUGCCAGCCGCCGCCGUAAAAC